AGAGAGAGACAUGCGCGCAUAUCAAUAAGCGGAGGAAAAGAAACUAACAAGGAUUCCCUUAGUAACGGCGAGUGAAGCGGGAAGAGCUCAAAUUUGAAAUCUUCAAGGUUCUACCUUGACGAAUUGUAGUUUAUAGAAGUGUUUUCUGUUAGUGGAGUGGCAAAAGGUUCUUUGGAAUAGGACAUCAUAGAGGGUGAGAAUCCCGUAUUUGGUCAUUCCUCCUAGCGUUGUGAUACACUUUCAACGAGUCGGAUUGUUUGGGAAUGCAGUCCAAAAUGGGUGGUAAAUUUCAUCUAAAGCUAAAUAUUGGCGAGAGACCGAUAGCGAACAAGUACCGUGAGGGAAAGAUGAAAAGAACUUUGAAAAGAGAGUUAAACAGUACGUGAAAUUGUCAAAAGGGAAGCGUUUGACACCAGUGUUGUUUUUUCCGAAAAUCAAUUACGAAUGUUUUGUUUUUGAGGAGUUAUGACUUCAUCGGCUUGCUCCUUUCUUUAUGAAACUUUCUUAAUGCACUUUUCGGUUAACAAGUCAACAUCAAUUUCUUUUGUUCGUAAAAGGGUAUGAGGAAGGUGGCUUUCUUUUCGGAGAAAGUGUUUAUAGCCUUGUGCCUCUGCAAUCGGAGAGAUUGAGGUCUGCAGCGUAGAUCCUUCGGGGUUAGAUACGUUUGUGCUAAGUUAUAGCUUUUCAUAGACAACUUGUUGACUAUGCUUAGUCUUGUAGCUUACUCGCUGACGCUAUUUUACCUACGCUUAGGAUGUUGAUAGUCACAGCGUGUAC
rnacentral:rRNA from 1 species